CGGUGUUACUAAUUCACCCACAGCAUUCACCGCAAACAACAAGACAUCUUAUGAUAUAACCUCAGGUCGGAUGCCUGUUGCCGCUGACUCGAAAAAAGCGGCUGCCUCACAGGAAGCCAUUGGGGAGACCGCUGCACAAAGUGUUGUCGUUGCAGUUGACAGAGUUUUCACGGGAUCAGUGAAACUGGAUGGUGAUGCUAUCGGUAGGUUUGCAUGU